rnacentral:rRNA from 1 species
AUGUUUUUUUCCGUUUAUGGAACUUCUUUUGAUGAUUGCUUAAGCAACCUUGAUCAAGUUUUGCAGAGAUGUGAACAAACUAAUCUUGUCUUGAAUUGGGAGAAGUGCCACUUUAUGGUGAAUGAAUUGGGGCAUAAAAUUUAUGAGCAUGGCAUUGAAGUGGAUAAUGCUAAAGUUGCUGCAACUGAGAAAAUGCCAUGUCCUAAAGAUAUUAAAGGUAUAAGAAGUUUACUUGGUCAUGUUGGGUUCUGUAGGAGGUUUAUUAAAGACUUCUCUAAAAAAAUUAAGCCUCUUACUAAUCUCUUGUAA